UUGUCCCGGUUUAAGCGUGUAGGUGUGUGUUCCAGGUAAAUCCGGUUCACUUUAACACUGAGGCGUGACGACGAGGCACUACGGUGCUGAAGCAACAAAUGCCCUGCUUCCAGGAAAAGCCUCUAAGCAUCAGGUAACAUCAAAUCGUACCCCAAACCGACACAGGUGGUCAGGUAGAGAAUACCAAGGCGCUUGAGAGAACUCGGGUGAAGGAACUAGGCAAAAUGGUGCCGUAACUUCGGGAGAAGGCACGCUGACACGUAGGUGAAGUGAUUUACUCAUGGAGCUGAAGUCAGUCGAAGAUACCAGCUGGCUGCAACUGUUUAUUAAAAACACAGCACUGUGCAAACACGAAAGUGGACGUAUACGGUGUGACGCCUGCCCGGUGCCGGAAGGUUAAUUGAUGGGGUCAGCGCAAGCGAAGCUCCUGAUCGAAGCCCCGGUAAACGGCGGCCGUAACUAUAACGGUCCUAAGGUAGCGAAAUUCCUUGUCGGGUAAGUUCCGACCUGCACGAAUGGCGUAAUGAUGGCCAGGCUGUCUCCACCCGAGACUCAGUGAAAUUGAACUCGCUGUGAAGAUGCAGUGUACCCGCGGCAAGACGGAAAGACCCCGUGAACCUUUACUAUAGCUUGACACUGAACAUUGAGCCUUGAUGUGUAGGAUAGGUGGGAGGCUUUGAAGUGUGGACGCCAGUCUGCAUGGAGCCGACCUUGAAAUACCACCCUUUAAUGUUUGAUGUUCUAACGUGGACCCGUAAUCCGGGUUGCGGACAGUGUCUGGUGGGUAGUUUGACUGGGGCGGUCUCCUCCUAAAGAGUAACGGAGGAGCACGAAGGUUGGCUAAUCCUGGUCGGACAUCAGGAGGUUAGUGCAAUGGCAUAAGCCAGCUUGACUGCGAGCGUGACGGCGCGAGCAGGUGCGAAAGCAGGUCAUAGUGAUCCGGUGGUUCUGAAUGGAAGGGCCAUCGCUCAACGGAUAAAAGGUACUCCGGGGAUAACAGGCUGAUACCGCCCAAGAGUUCAUAUCGACGGCGGUGUUUGGCACCUCGAUGUCGGCUCAUCACAUCCUGGGGCUGAAGUAGGUCCCAAGGGUAUGGCUGUUCGCCAUUUAAAGUGGUACGCGAGCUGGGUUUAGAACGUCGUGAGACAGUUCGGUCCCUAUCUGCCGUGGGCGCUGGAGAACUGAGGGGGGCUGCUCCUAGUACGAGAGGACCGGAGUGGACGCAUCACUGGUGUU
rnacentral:rRNA from 1 species